CCUACGGGGUGCAGCAGUGAGGAAUAUUGGUCAAUGGACGAGAGUCUGAACCAACCAAGUAGCGUGAAGGAUGACUGCCCUAUGGGUUGUAAACUUCUUUUAUAUGGGAAUAAAAUGUUCCACGUGUGGGAUUUUGUAUGUACCAUAUGAAUAAGGAUCGGCUAACUCCGUGCCAGCAGCCGCGGUAAUACGGAGGAUCCGAGCGUUAUCCGGAUUUAUUGGGUUUAAAGGGAGCGUAGGUGGAUUGUUAAGUCAGUUGUGAAAGUUUGCGGCUCAACCGUAAAAUUGCAGUUGAAACUGGCAGUCUUGAGUACAGUAGAGGUGGGCGGAAUUCGUGGUGUAGCGGUGAAAUGCUGAGAUAUCACGAAGAACUCCGAUUGCGAAGGCAGUUCACUGGACUGCAACUGACACUGAGGCUCGAAAGUGUGGGUAUCAAACAGGAUUAGAUACCCGGGUAGUC
rnacentral:rRNA from 1 species